rnacentral:rRNA from 1 species
CCAGACUCCUACGGGAGGCAGCAGUAGGGAAUUUUGCGCAAUGGGGGAAACCCUGACGCAGCAACACCGCGUGAAUGUUAAGCCCUUCGGGGUGUAAAGUUCUGUCAAUAGGGACGAAUUUUGACUGUACCUAUAAAGGAAGCACCGGCUAACUCCGUGCCAGCAGCCGCGGUAAUACGGGGGGUGCAAGCGUUGUCCGGAAUCAUUGGGCGUAAAGCGCGCGUAGGCGGCCUGUUAGGUCGGGGGUCAAAUGCCGGGGCUCAACUCCGGUCCGCCCCCGAUACCGGCAGGCUUGAGUCUGGUAGGGGAAGGCGGAAUUCCCAGUGUAGCGGUGGAAUGCGCAGAUAUUGGGAAGAACACCGGCGGCGAAGGCGGCCUUCUGGGCCACGACUGACGCUGAGGCGCGAAAGCUAGGGGAGCGAACAGGAUUAGAUACCCGUGUAA